UACGUAGGGGGCAAGCGUUGUCCGGAAUCAUUGGGCGUAAAGAGCGCGUAGGCGGUCCGGUAAGUCCGCUGUGAAAGUCAAGGGCUCAACCCUUGAAUGCCGGUGGAUACUGUCGGGCUAGAGUCCGGAAGAGGCAAGUGGAAUUCCUGGUGUAGCGGUGGAAUGCGCAGAUAUCAGGAGGAACACCAAUAGCGAAGGCAGCUUGCUGGGACGGUACUGACGCUAAGGCGCGAAAGCGUGGGGAGCGAACAGG
rnacentral:rRNA from 1 species